rnacentral:tRNA from 1 species
AUUACUUUGGCAGAUUAGUGCGUUGAAUUUAGAAUUCAAUAAUGUGAAUUUUUUACAUGUAAUA